GAUGAACGCUGGCGGCGUGCCUAAUACAUGCAAGUCGAGCGAACAGACGAGGAGCUUGCUCCUCUGACGUUAGCGGCGGACGGGUGAGUAACACGUGGAUAACCUACCUAUAAGACUGGGAUAACUUCGGGAAACCGGAGCUAAUACCGGAUAAUAUAUUGAACCGCAUGGUUCAAUAAUGAAAGACGGUUUUGCUGUCACUUAUAGAUGGAUCCGCGCCGCAUUAGCUAGUUGGUAAGGUAACGGCUUACCAAGGCAACGAUGCGUAGCCGACCUGAGAGGGUGAUCGGCCACACUGGAACUGAGACACGGUCCAGACUCCUACGGGAGGCAGCAGUAGGGAAUCUUCCGCAAAGGGCGAAAGCCUGACGGAGCAACGCCGCGUGAGUGAUGAAGGUCUUCGGAUCGUAAAACUCUGUUAUUAGGGAAGAACAAAUGUGUAAGUAACUAUGCACGUCUUGACGGUACCUAAUCAGAAAGCCACGGCUAACUACGUG
rnacentral:rRNA from 1 species